rnacentral:misc_RNA from 1 species
UCCGAGUUGACCCCGGCAGUCUCCUAUGAGUCCCCACCAUCACGUGCUGGCAACAUAGAACGAGGGUUGCGCUCGUUGCGGGACUUAACCCAACGUCUCACGACACGAGCUGACGACAGCCAUGCAGCACCUGUGUGUAGGUCCCGUAAGGGAAGGAAUCCAUCUCUGGAAACCGUCCUACCAUGUCAAACGCUGGUAAGGUUCUUCGCGUUGCAUCGAAUUAAUCCGCAUGCUCCGCCGCUUGUGCGGGCCCCCGUCAAUUCCUUUGAGUUUUAGCCUUGCGGCCGUACUCCCCAGGCGGGGCGCUUAAUGCGUUAGCUGCGGCACGGAACCCAUGGAAUAGGCCCCAUACCUAGCGCCCAACGUUUACGGUGUGGACUAC